GGGAAUUUCUUAUUGUAGAGUUUUCUUUGUUUUGACGUAUGUCUAGGGAUUUUUAAAGAACAGUUAUAAACAAUGCGGGGCAUUUCAUAACAUGGAAUGAAGGCAUCAGCGAGGCUUAGGGUUGAAUGAUGGGCCAGAAGAAAGCUUGGAAUCGACUCAAAGUCUGUUAGAGUACAGCAAAGGGCCACAAACUGGAGCUGCCACUGAGAUGAUGCCAGAGCUGGGGUUACACAGUGACCCAUUGUUGUGCAGUGCACGAUGUGUCCUUGCUCUGAGACUCCCAGGUCUCCACUGGAAUAAGUCUUCCCAAAUGUAAGUAAUGCAAGCGGGAAGAUACUUGUUUGGGAGGAAGACCAAGCUCUCCACUUAAACUUGGUUGAGGCACCCAGCUCCGAAGGUAUUCUUGUUCACACCGUGACGCUAAAUCCUGAUGGAAGAUAUUCUUUCAAUGUUUCUGACUUCAGGAUUCUUCUGAUACAAGUGGGGAGAGCUGUGGGGUCGGCCACGUGCCGCGGACCCGGGGCUGGAGCGCGCAGCUUGGCACAGCGACAGGGUGCUGCGAACGCCCCGGGCGCGGAGCGAGCGGAUUGAUUAGCUGUCUGCUUACUGCGCGUGAGGACAGGCUGGCCUCUCUCCCGUGGGUUCAGUGCCUUCUUGUCCCUGGGGGUGGAGAUGCAGCAACAAGCCGGGAACGGAAAAGCUCAGCUGAGAG